rnacentral:rRNA from 1 species
CUCGGGAGGGGUAACCCUUCCGAGGGGAGAGCGGCGAACGGGUGAGUAACACGUGGGCAACCUGCCCCGGACACCGGGAUAACUCAGGGAAACCUGGGCUAAUACCGGAUACCUCGGCGUGAUCGCAUGGUCGUGCCGGGAAAGCUCCGACGGUCCGGGAUGGGCCCGCGGCCUAUCAGCUUGUUGGUGGGGUAACGGCCUACCAAGGCGGCGACGGGUAGCUGGUCUGAGAGGACGGCCAGCCACACUGGGACUGAGACACGGCCCAGACUCCUACGGGAGGCAGCAGUAGGGAAUCUUGCGCUAAUGCGCGAAAGCGUGACGCAGCGACGCCGCGUGCGGGAUGAAGGCCCUCGGGUCGUAAACCGCUUUCGGCAGGGACGAAGCGAAAGUGACGGUACCUGCAGAAGAAGUCCCGGCUAACUACGUGCCAGCAGCCGCGGUAACACGUAGGGGACGAGCGUUGUCCGGAUUCAUUGGGCGUAAAGCGCGCGUAGGCGGCUCGGAAAGUCGGUCGUGAAAUCCUGGGGCUCAACCCCGGAACUGCGUCCGAUACUCCCGAGCUGGAGGCAGGUAGGGGAGAUCGGAAUUCCUGGUGUAGCGGUGAAAUGCGCAGAUAUCAGGAGGAACACCGGUGGCGAAGGCGGAUCUCUGGGCCUUGCCUGACGCUGAGGCGCGAAAGCUAGGGGAGCGAACAGGAUUAGAUACCCUGGUAGUCCUAGCCGUAAACGUUGGGUGCUAGGUGUGGGCGGAUAUCGACCCCGUCCGUGCCGAAGCUAACGCAUUAAGCACCCCGCC